rnacentral:rRNA from 1 species
AACGAACGCUGGCGGCAUGCCUAACACAUGCAAGUCGAACGAGACCUUCGGGUCUAGUGGCGCACGGGUGCGUAACGUGUGGGAACCUGCCCUUAGGUUCGGAAUAACUCCCCGAAAGGGGUGCUAAUACCGGAUAAUGUCUUCGGACCAAAGAUUUAUCGCCUUUGGAUGGGCCCGCGUUGGAUUAGCUAGUUGGUAGGGUAAAAGCCUACCAAGGCGACGAUCCAUAGCUGGUCUGAGAGGAUGAUCAGCCACACUGGGACUGAGACACGGCCCAGACUCCUACGGAAGGCAGCAGUGGGGAAUAUUGGACAAUGGGCGAAAGCCUGAUCCAGCAAUGCCGCGUGAGUGAUGAAGGCCUUAGGGUUGUAAAGCUCUUUUACCCGGGAUGAUAAUGACAGUACCGGGAGAAUAAGCUCCGGCUAACUCCGU